rnacentral:siRNA from 1 species
GCAUCAUGCUAGAUAUAGCCCA